CAAAUGCUAUCUCUUUCCGUUCCUCGCGCUAUUUAUAGAAAGGUAAACAGACAAGGAAAAUUCACACACAAAUGCAGAAAUAAACCAGGAAUCUGAUUUUGUAAGUAUCUCGUGUAAAAUUGUAGAAGAAGGUAGGAAAUUAUUAAUAUUAACGACAUUUUUUUAUGUUUUUGCCAAAUAAUAAGUGUUAUUUCUAAAAAUAACGGGGGGAUCCAUACUUUUCCAAAAUCUAGAAUAUUUUCUCCGUGAAAUCAUGUUGGAUAUGUGUUGAUCUGUUCUACAUGAGCAAGGCGCGAUCCUGGUAAAGAUGGUAUGUUUCGUCUAAGAAAAGGAGAAUAAAUAUAGCCAUGAACGUUCACGACGUUACACAAAAGCACAUGAAAUAUUUUCUGAUUGGAUUCAGAUUAGAUCGAAUAAUAAAAUCGGCGCUCCGUAGAAGUGUCUUCCUAUUUUACAACUUUUGAUAUCGGUGAUUAACAAUUAUUUUUUAUUUAAUACUGUGUUUCAAUUUCAUCACGAAGAAAACUAUAGUAAUGUACUCUUCACACUGAUCACUCGAGGAUAAUUAUAAUCGCUGGUCUAGAAUUUCUGUUGGUUUGUAAUUUAGAUAUAUGGGUUAAUUCCCUUUCCAGGUAAAACUUUUGAGGCACUAUGCGGGAUAAUAAAUAAAAAGAGCUUCAUACAGAGUUGGCAGGACAAAUAAGCUAUAUAGUUCUAUAUACUUUUAACUGACAUAAUAUAAUUCCCUAUGAACUGUAUUAUAUAGUUAGAUGACAGAAGGCUGUAAUGUUUAUAUUAUUUGCUAGGCAAAUCAGAGAAAAAUAAUAUAAUUAUGUAAAUAGUCAAAUAACAAUUAAGUAGUAUUUUUUUAUUAUUAUUUUCUUGUUUGUAAUUAAUAUGUACUGAAGGGCCCUUUAAUUAAUAAUAGAAUGAUUUUUUUUUAAUUUGAUUUGUAGUUCAAAUAUUGUAAAAAUAUUUAUUAUAAAAAGGAAAAUGUGGUAUGAUUGCCAAUGAGACAAUUGUCCACACUAAGUUAAGAGACACAGAAAUUAACAACUAUAGGUCACUGUAUAGCCUUCAACAAUGAGCAAAGCCCAUACCACAUAGAAAAGCUGUAAAGGGCCUUGAAAAGACAAUGUAAUUAAACGAGAAAACUAACGACCUAAUUUGUGUACAAAAUGAACAAAUUCAAACAUGUAAGCCAUAAACAAACGACAACUACUGAAUAACAGGCUCCUGACUUGGGACAGGCACAUACAUACAGAACGGUGGCGGUGUUAAAUAUGUUAGCGGGAUCUCAAGUCCAUUUGUUGCAAUUUGAUAUCGAUAAUUCAUUGUUUCAAUAUAUUUGAGUAUGAUAAAUUAUUUGGGAUGGAGACUUAAUUUAAUUAUAAUGCAUUAGAUUGAAACUGAUAUAUGCUUUCUGAAUUAAAAAAAAAUCCUUGCAAUGACUCAUGAGUUAUGUUCUUGUUCUCUCACAAGCAAACCUCAGGCCAAUUGACAACAUAAAAUCAGCAUGUACUCAACCAAACAUGAUAAAGCCAGGCAUAUAAGCAAAAAAAAUCAUAAUUCUACAAGGUACAUACAUAUAAACAGGAUUUUAAAAUGUCUGAAAUAUUUUUAGUAUUUUAACAUUUUUAUGAAAGUAGGUUAAUCAAAUACAUGGGAAUAUUGACAAAGUUACAUCAUAUCAGUUUGCAACUACAGAAAACAAUACUGGAAAUUGUUUUUAAAUUUUGCAUUCAUCAGAUCUAAACAGAAUUUGAUAUAUAUGCUUUGCAUCCUCCUGAAUAUAAUGAAAUACUGCCACUUGACAUUAAUCAACCAAUCUAUAUUUUUGAUCCUCCUUAAUGUAAUGAAUUAUUUGUCACUGGGAUUAAUUAAUCAAUCUAUAUCUUUGAUCCUCCUGAAUAUAAUGAAAUAUUUGCGACUGGGCUGGGCAUUAAUUAACCAAUCUAUAUCUUUGAUCCUCCUGACUAUAAUGAAAUAUUUGCCACUGGGCAUUUAUCAACCGAUCUCAUAUUCAUUGCAAGGACUAUACUCCUUUUUUUUAAUAUUAUAAUGAUUAUAUAUAAAAUGAAAAAGGGUUUACAUGUUUGUUAAAACAUAUAGGUAUAGAACAAAUGGUUGUUAUUUCUACUAUUUUAUACUUUCAGGUUGUGAAACAACUGCUGAGCAAUAAGAUGGAACUAGCUGUUUGAUGAAAGAACUUUUUUUAUUCAGUCUUAAUUUAGAACAUUUUGAAAAAUUAUUUUGUCCUGUCUUUGUACUUGUUAUAUAAAGCCAACGAAAAAAAAAUACCCAAAAUAAAGCAUUUUAUUCUUG
rnacentral:lncRNA from 1 species